UACGUAGGGGGCAAGCGUUGUCCGGAUUAUUGGGCGUAAAGAGCGUGUAGGCGGCCAGGUAGGUCUGCUGUGAAAACUCGAGGCUUAACCUCGAGAUGUCGGCGGAAACCAUCUGGCUAGAGUCCGGAAGAGGAGAGCGGAAUUCCUGGUGUAGCGGUGAAAUGCGCAGAUAUCAGGAGGAACACCGAUGGCGAAGGCAGCCCCCUGGGCUAACACUGACGCUCAGGCACGAAAGCGUGGGGAGCAAACAGG
rnacentral:rRNA from 1 species